GAGCUAGAGAAGAUGGGAUCUA
rnacentral:siRNA from 1 species